rnacentral:miRNA from 1 species
GUGUGUGUGUGUGUGUGUGUGUGUGUGUGUGUGUGUGUGUGUGUGUAUUAUAUAUAUAUAUAUACAUACAUACAUACAUACAUACAUACAUACAU